UACGGAAGGGGGCUAGCGUUGUUCGGAUUUACUGGGCGUAAAGCGCACGUAGGCGGAUCGUUAAGUCGGGGGGUGAAAUCCUGGAGCUCAACUCCAGAACUGCCUUCGAUACUGGCAUCUUGAGUCCGGAAGAGGUGAGUGGAACUCCUAGUGUAGAGGUGGAAUUCGUAGAUAUUAGGAAGAACACCAGUGGCGAAGGCGGCUCACUGGUCCGGUACUGACGCUGAGGUGCGAAAGCGUGGGGGAGCAAACGGG
rnacentral:rRNA from 1 species